rnacentral:rRNA from 1 species
GACGAACGCUGGCGGCGUGCUUAACACAUGCAAGUCGAACGGUGAACCGGGCUUCGGCCCGGGGAUCAGUGGCGAACGGGUGCGUAACACGUGGGCAACCUGCCCCAGACACUGGGAUAACCCCGGGAAACCGGGGCUAAUACCGGAUACUCCGCUCGGACCGCAUGGUCCGAUCGGGAAAGCUCCGACGGUCUGGGAUGGGCCCGCGGCCUAUCAGCUUGUUGGUGGGGUAACGGCCUACCUAGGCGACGACGGGUAGCUGGUCUGAGAGGACGAACAGCCACACUGGAACUGAGAUACGGUCCAGACUCCUACGGGAGGCAGCAGUGGGGAAUCUUGCACAAUGGGCGAAAGCCUGAUGCAGCGACGCCGCGUGGGGGAUGAAGGCCCUCGGGUUGUAAACCCCUUUCGGCAGGGAGGAAGCGCAAGCGACGGUACCUGCAGAAGAAGCUCCGGCUAACUACGUGCCAGCAGCCGCCGCCGUAA